UGUGAGGUUAAGCGACUAAGCGUACACGGUGGAUGCCCUGGCAGUCAGAGGCGAUGAAGGACGUGCUAAUCUGCGAUAAGCGUCGGUAAGGUGAUAUGAACCGUUAUAACCGGCGAUUUCCGAAUGGGGAAACCCAGUGUGUUUCGACACACUAUCAUUAACUGAAUCCAUAGGUUAAUGAGGCGAACCGGGGGAACUGAAACAUCUAAGUACCCCGAGGAAAAGAAAUCAACCGAGAUUCCCCCAGUAGCGGCGAGCGAACGGGGAGGAGCCCAGAGCCUGAAUCAGUGUGUGUGUUAGUGGAAGCGUCUGGAAAGGCGCGCGAUACAGGGUGACAGCCCCGUACACAAAAAUGCACAUGCUGUGAGCUCGAUGAGUAGGGCGGGACACGUGGUAUCCUGUCUGAAUAUGGGGGGACCAUCCUCCAAGGCUAAAUACUCCUGACUGACCGAUAGUGAACCAGUACCGUGAGGGAAAGGCGAAAAGAACCCCGGCGAGGGGAGUGAAAAAGAACCUGAAACCGUGUACGUACAAGCAGUGGGAGCACGCUUAGGCGUGUGACUGCGUACCUUUUGUAUAAUGGGUCAGCGACUUAUAUUCUGUAGCAAGGUUAACCGAAUAGGGGAGCCGAAGGGAAACCGAGUCUUAACUGGGCGUUAAGUUGCAGGGUAUAGACCCGAAACCCGGUGAUCUAGCCAUGGGCAGGUUGAAGGUUGGGUAACACUAACUGGAGGACCGAACCGACUAAUGUUGAAAAAUUAGCGGAUGACUUGUGGCUGGGGGUGAAAGGCCAAUCAAACCGGGAGAUAGCUGGUUCUCCCCGAAAGCUAUUUAGGUAGCGCCUCGUGAAUUCAUCUCCGGGGGUAGAGCACUGUUUCGGCAAGGGGGUCAUCCCGACUUACCAACCCGAUGCAAACUGCGAAUACCGGAGAAUGUUAUCACGGGAGACACACGGCGGGUGCUAACGUCCGUCGUGAAGAGGGAAACAACCCAGACCGCCAGCUAAGGUCCCAAAGUCAUGGUUAAGUGGGAAACGAUGUGGGAAGGCCCAGACAGCCAGGAUGUUGGCUUAGAAGCAGCCAUCAUUUAAAGAAAGCGUAAUAGCUCACUGGUCGAGUCGGCCUGCGCGGAAGAUGUAACGGGGCUAAACCAUGCACCGAAGCUGCGGCAGCGACGCUGAUGCGUUGUUGGGUAGGGGAGCGUUCUGUAAGCCUGUGAAGGUGUGCUGUGAGGCAUGCUGGAGGUAUCAGAAGUGCGAAUGCUGACAUAAGUAACGAUAAAGCGGGUGAAAAGCCCGCUCGCCGGAAGACCAAGGGUUCCUGUCCAACGUUAAUCGGGGCAGGGUGAGUCGACCCCUAAGGCGAGGCCGAAAGGCGUAGUCGAUGGGAAACAGGUUAAUAUUCCUGUACUUGGUGUUACUGCGAAGGGGGGACGGAGAAGGCUAUGUUGGCCGGGCGACGGUUGUCCCGGUUUAAGCGUGUAGGCUGGUUUUCCAGGCAAAUCCGGAAAAUCAAGGCUGAGGCGUGAUGACGAGGCACUACGGUGCUGAAGCAACAAAUGCCCUGCUUCCAGGAAAAGCCUCUAAGCAUCAGGUAACAUCAAAUCGUACCCCAAACCGACACAGGUGGUCAGGUAGAGAAUACCAAGGCGCUUGAGAGAACUCGGGUGAAGGAACUAGGCAAAAUGGUGCCGUAACUUCGGGAGAAGGCACGCUGAUAUGUAGGUGAAGUCCCUCGCGGAUGGAGCUGAAAUCAGUCGAAGAUACCAGCUGGCUGCAACUGUUUAUUAAAAACACAGCACUGUGCAAACACGAAAGUGGACGUAUACGGUGUGACGCCUGCCCGGUGCCGGAAGGUUAAUUGAUGGGGUCAGCGCAAGCGAAGCUCUUGAUCGAAGCCCCGGUAAACGGCGGCCGUAACUAUAACGGUCCUAAGGUAGCGAAAUUCCUUGUCGGGUAAGUUCCGACCUGCACGAAUGGCGUAAUGAUGGCCAGGCUGUCUCCACCCGAGACUCAGUGAAAUUGAACUCGCUGUGAAGAUGCAGUGUACCCGCGGCAAGACGGAAAGACCCCGUGAACCUUUACUAUAGCUUGACACUGAACAUUGAGCCUUGAUGUGUAGGAUAGGUGGGAGGCUUAGAAGUGUGGACGCCAGUCUGCAUGGAGCCGACCUUGAAAUACCACCCUUUAAUGUUUGAUGUUCUAACGUUGACCCGUAAUCCGGGUUGCGGACAGUGUCUGGUGGGUAGUUUGACUGGGGCGGUCUCCUCCUAAAGAGUAACGGAGGAGCACGAAGGUUGGCUAAUCCUGGUCGGACAUCAGGAGGUUAGUGCAAUGGCAUAAGCCAGCUUGACUGCGAGCGUGACGGCGCGAGCAGGUGCGAAAGCAGGUCAUAGUGAUCCGGUGGUUCUGAAUGGAAGGGCCAUCGCUCAACGGAUAAAAGGUACUCCGGGGAUAACAGGCUGAUACCGCCCAAGAGUUCAUAUCGACGGCGGUGUUUGGCACCUCGAUGUCGGCUCAUCACAUCCUGGGGCUGAAGUAGGUCCCAAGGGUAUGGCUGUUCGCCAUUUAAAGUGGUACGCGAGCUGGGUUUAGAACGUCGUGAGACAGUUCGGUCCCUAUCUGCCGUGGGCGCUGGAGAACUGAGGGGGGCUGCUCCUAGUACGAGAGGACCGGAGUGGACGCAUCACUGGUGUUCGGGUUGUCAUGCCAAUGGCACUGCCCGGUAGCUAAAUGCGGAAGAGAUAAGUGCUGAAAGCAUCUAAGCACGAAACUUGCCCCGAGAUGAGUUCUCCCUGACUCCUUGAGAGUCCUGAAGGAACGUUGAAGACGACGACGUUGAUAGGCCGGGUGUGUAAGCGCAGCGAUGCGUUGAGCUAACCGGUACUAAUGAACCGUGAGGCUUAACCUUACAACGCCGAAGCUGUU
rnacentral:rRNA from 1 species